GUGAGUCAUCGAAUCUUUGAACGCACAUUGCGCCCUUUGGUAUUCCGAAGGGCAUGCCCGUCCGAGCGUCAUUUCACCACUCGAGCCUCGCUCGGUGUUGGGCGUCGCGUCCACCGCGCGCCUCAAAGUCCCCCGGCCGCGUGGUCCAUCCCCGAGCGUUGUGGCAUCUGUCUCGCUUUGGGUUGGUCUGCGUUGGCCGUUAAGCCUUUACACUGGUUGACCUCGGAUCGGGUAGGGAUACCCGCUGAACUUAAGCAUAUCAAUAAGCGGAGGA
rnacentral:misc_RNA from 1 species